rnacentral:lncRNA from 1 species
CACGGCCCUGCAAACGCCUAUUACUCCAAAGUGAGGUGGGUUAGGAGAACAGGUAAAGCCCGGGAGGUAUGGGCCAUAGGGUGCUGUGUGGGUAGGGUGUCACACUAAAUUUGGCAUCAACGUGGUGACCUCCUGGCAGCAGAGGACUACCAGGUUGCCUAAGGAGGGUUGGAUCAGCCCUGGUCAGAAAUGGAGCAGAUCAAAACUCCCAUGCUGCUAGGCAGAGGAAAAAAAACAAACAAGCACACAGAGAUUCCUAGGUUCAGGGAGCCUUGGAGAAGCUCCAAG